rnacentral:rRNA from 1 species
GACGAACGCUGGCGGCGUGCUUAACACAUGCAAGUCGAACGGAAAGGCCCUGCUUUUGUUGGUUGCUCGAGUGGCGAACGGGUGAGUAACACGUGAGUAUCCUCCCCUUGUCUUUGGGAUAACUCCACGAAACUGGGGCUCAUACCGGAUAGGAGCUCCUGCUGCAUGGUGGGGGAUGGAAAGUUUCGGCUGUUGGGGAUGGACUCGCGGGUUACCAGCUUGUUGGUGGGGUAGUGGCUUACCAAGGGUUUGACGGGUAGCCGGCCUGAGAGGGUGACCGGCCACAUUUGGACUGAGGUACGGCCCAGACGCGUACGGGAGGCAGCAGUGGGGAGUAUUGCACAAUGGGCGGAAGCGUGAUGCAGCGACGCCGCGUGCGGGAUGACGGCCUUCGGGUUGUAAACCGCUGUCGCCGGUGACGAAGCGUGAGUGACGGUAAUGGGUAAGGAAGCACCGGCUAACUACGUG